rnacentral:rRNA from 1 species
GUCUACAGCCAUGCUACCCUGAACAAGCCCGAUCCCAUCUGAUCUUGGAAGCUAAGCAGGGUCAGGCCUGGUUAGUACUUGCAUGGGAGACCACCUAGGAAGCCCAGGUGCUGUAGGUG